rnacentral:rRNA from 1 species
UACAGAGGUGGCAAGCGUUGUUCGGAAUUACUGGGCGUAAAGGGCGCGUAGGCGGUCCCAUAAGUCCCGCGUGAAAUCCCCCGGCUCAACCGGGGAACUGCGCGGGAAACUGCGGGGCUUGAGUUCGGGAGAGGGAAGCGGAAUUCCGGGUGUAGCGGUGAAAUGCGUAGAUAUCCGGAGGAACACCGGUGGCGAAGGCGGUUCUCUGGGCAUUACCUGACGCUGAGGAGCGAAAGUGUGGGGAGCGAACAGG